AACACUGGUAAUGGUACUCCUGCUGUGCUGGGAUAGGGUUCGAUUCCCUGCAGUGUU
rnacentral:snRNA from 1 species